rnacentral:rRNA from 1 species
GUUGAACGCUGGCGGCAGGCUUAACACAUGCAAGUCGAGCGGAGAUGAGGUGCUUGAACCUUAUCUUAGCGGCGGACGGGUGAGUAAUGCUUAGGAAUCUGCCUAUUAGUGGGGGACAACAUUCCGAAAGGAAUGCUAAUACCGCAUACGUCCUACGGGAGAAAGCAGGGGAUCUUCGGACCUUGCGCCAAUAGAUGAGCCUAAGUCGGAUUAGCUAGUUGGUGGGGUAAAGGCCUACCAAGGCGACGAUCUGUAGCGGGUCCGAGAGGAUGAUCCGCCACACUGGGACUGAGACACGGCCCAGACUCCUACGGGAGGCAGCAGUGGGGAAUAUUGGACAAUGGGGGGAACCCUGAUCCAGCCAUGCCGCGUGUGUGAAGAAGGCCUUAUGGUUGUAAAGCACUUUAAGCGAGGAGGAGGCUACCGAGACUAAUACUCUUGGAUAGUGGACGUUACUCGCAGAAUAAGCACCGGCUAACUCUGUGCCAGCCGCCGCCGUAAUAC